CAGGUCGGGGCACAGCGUGAGGACGAGCGCCCUGCGAGGUGAGGGCGGUCCGCCGGCAGGACCAGCAGGCGGAGAGAGGGCCGCGGGCGGGCUGGCCCGUGUGCACGCGGGGUGGCGACUCGGCCGGCGCCGGGCAGGCAGAGCGGCGCGCGCGCGGCUGGCCGAGAGAAGGCACGGUUCCAAACCCCUGUGAGAGCUCCGGCGGGUCCGUGGUCAAGCUCGGGCUCCACUGGAGUUCGAUCGCGGGGAAUGUGGACGGAUACCCCGGACCAGGGCUGGCGCAGAGGAGGCAGCCUGGGGAAGGCUCAUCCUAG
rnacentral:lncRNA from 1 species